rnacentral:rRNA from 1 species
AAUCAACGCUGGCGGCGUGCCUCAGACAUGCAAGUCGAACGUGAAAGCCCUUCGGGGUGAGUAAAGUGGCGCACGGGUGAGUAACACGUAGGUAAUCUGCCUUCGGGUGGGGAAUACCAACCGGAAACGGUUGUUAAUACCGCAUAAUGCAGCGGCUCGACAUCGAGACAGUUGUUAAAGUGGGGGAUCGCAAGACCUCACGCCUGAAGAGGAGCCUGCGGCGGAUUAGGUAGUUGGUGAGGUAAUGGCUCACCAAGCCCGCGAUCCGUAACCGACC